rnacentral:rRNA from 1 species
AGUCAACAUGCCCAGGGGACGUGGAUAACCUCGGGAAACUGAGGAUAAACCGCGAUAGGCCAUAAUGUCUGGAAUGAUUUAUGGCUAAAAUCUAUAUGGCCCCUGGAUUGGACUGCGGCCGAUCAGGCUGUUGGUGAGGUAAUGGCCCACCAAACCUAAAACCGGUACGGGCUCUGAGAGGAGAAGCCCGGAGAUGGGCACUGAGACAAGGGCCCAGGCCCUAUGGGGCGCAGCAGGCGCGAAAACUCUGCAAUAAGCGAAAGCUUGACAGGGUUAUUCUGAGUGAUUUCCGCUAAGGAGAUCUUUUGGCACCUCUAAAAAUGGUGCAGAAUAAGGGGUGGGCAAGCCUGGUGUCAGCCGCCGCGGUAAUACCAGCACCCCGAGUGGUCGGGACGAUUAUUGGGCCUAAAGCAUCCGUAGCCGGUUCUACAAGUCUUCCGUUAAAUCCAUCUACUUAAUAGAUGGGCCGCAGAGGAUACUAUAGAGCUAGGAGGCGGGAGAGGCAAGCGGUACUUAGUGGGUAGGGGUAAAAUCCGUUGAUCCACUGAAGACCACCAGUGGCGAAGGCGGCUUGCCAGAACGCGCUCGACGGUGAGGGAUGAAAGCUGGGGGAGCAAACCGGAUUAGAUACCCGGGUAGUCCCAGCUGUAAACGAUGCAGACUCGGUGAUGAAUAGGCUUAGUGCCUAUUCAGUGCCGCAGGGAAGCCGUUAAGUCUGCCGCCUGGGGAGUACGGUCGCAAGACUGAAACUUAA